rnacentral:rRNA from 1 species
UAGGGAAUCUUCGGCAAUGGACGAAAGUCUGACCGAGCAACGCCGCGUGAGUGAAGAAGGUCUUCGGAUCGUAAAACUCUGUUGUUAGAGAAGAACAAGGACGUUAGUAACUGAACGUCCCCUGACGGUAUCUAACCAGAAAGCCACGGCUAACUACGUGCCAGCAGCCGCGGUAAUACGUAGGUGGCAAGCGUUGUCCGGAUUUAUUGGGCGUAAAGCGAGCGCAGGCGGUUUCUUAAGUCUGAUGUGAAAGCCCCCGGCUCAACCGGGGAGGGUCAUUGGAAACUGGGAGACUUGAGUGCAGAAGAGGGGAGUGGAAUUCCAUGUGUAGCGGUAAAAUGCGUAGAUAUAUGGGGGAACACCAGUGGCGAAGGCGGCUAUCUGGUCUGUAACUGACGCUGAGGCUCGAAAGCGUGGGGAGCAAACAGG